AACAACCACUAACUUGAGCACCAUGAUGUCAGACAGACCUGUGGAGCUCCCUCAUAGUGGCCCACCAAAAAGGAAAAUGAGCCGUAAGAACAUCCCUUCCCCUGACAUGUACACCAAUUAUCCUGUCUAUGGCAACACUGACUGGGAUGAGUCAAUAUACGCCAAUGUGUAGCAUGUGGAAGACCAGCUGCAGUCCAUGUUUGUGUCCUCUAUAUAUGAGUUAAGAACGAGUCAAGUGUUUUUUUUCAAUGUUUAUCACUUAUAUCUGUCAUAUAUAAUUCACAUUUUAUUUGUGUAAUACAAAAAUUCAAUAUUAAUGUCUAAACAGGAAGAUGGUCACUUCAUCAGAAGUCGACUUUUUGUAGUGUUUUUUCUGUCAUUUGAUUUUUUUUUUUUU
ensembl:lncRNA